rnacentral:rRNA from 1 species
CCUACGGGAGGCAGCAGUGGGGGAUAUUGCACAAUGGGGGAAACCCUGAUGCAGCGACGCCGCGUGGGGGAAGACGGUCCUCUGGAUUGUAAACCACUGUCACCAGGGACGAAGAUGACGGUACCGGGGGAGGAAGCGCAGGCGAACUACGUGCCAGCAGCCGCGGUAAGACGGAGGGAGCGAGCGUUGUCCUGAAUUACUGGGUGUAAAGGGAGCGUAGGCGGGGAUGCAAGUUGGGUGUCAAAACUACCGGCUCAACUGGUAGUCGCACUCAAAACGGCAGCUCUUGAGUGAAGGAGCGGCAGGCGGCAUUCCUGGUGUAGCGGUGACCUGCGUAGAUAUUCGGCGG